rnacentral:rRNA from 1 species
UUCCGGUUGAUCCCGCCGGACCCGACUGCUAUUUGGGUGAGAAUAAGCCAUGCGAGUUGAAUGGGAUACCUAAAGUUCCCAUAGCAAACUGCUCAGUAACACAUGAUCAACUUACCCUAUAGAGAAAAAUAACCUCGGGAAACUGAGGAUAAUAUUUCAUAAUCGAAUUGGCUUGGAAAAGUUUUUCAAUGAAAGGGAUAAAAAAAAUGGUUUUUAUCUGCUAUAGGAUAGGAUCGUGUUCGAUUAUGGUUGUUGGUGAGAUAAUGGCUCACCAAGCCGAUAAUCGAUAGGGGCCGUGAGAGCGGGAGCCCCGAGAUGGGUACUGAGACAACGACCCAGGCCUUACGAGGCGCAGCGGGCGCGGAACCUCCGCAAUACACGAAAGUGUGACGGGGUUACCCAAAGUGUUCAAUAGAACUGUGGUAGGUGAGUAAUGUCCCCUACUAGAAAGGAGAGGGCAAGGCUGGUGCCAACCGCCGCGGUAAAACCAGCUCUUCAAGUGGUCGGGAUAAUUAUUGGGCUUAAAGUGUCCGUAGCCGGUUUAGUAAGUUCCUGGUAAAAUCGGGUAGCUUAACUAUCUGCAUGCUAGGAAUACUGCUAUACUAGAGGGCGGGAGAGGUCUGAGGUACUACAGGGGUAGGGGUGAAAUCUUAUAAUCCUUGUAGGACCACCAGUGGCGAAGGCGUCAGACUGGAACGCGCCUGACGGUGAGGGACGAAAGCCAGGGGAGCGAACCGGAUUAGAUACCCGGGUAGUCCUGGCCGUAAACGAUGCAUACUAGGUGAUGGUACGGCCAUGAGCCGUAUCAGUGCCGUAGGGAAACCGUUAAGUGUGCCGCCUGGGAAGUACGGUCGCAAGGCUAAAACUUAAAGGAAUUGGCGGGGAGCACCACAAGGGGUGAAGCCUGCAGUUCAAUUGGAUUCAACGCCGGAAUCACUAGUGCGGCCGCC